rnacentral:tRNA from 1 species
GGUUUUAUAGUCAAUAAAUGAUAUUAGACUGCAAUUCUAAAGUUGUAUUUUUACUAAAACCU